GCAAAAGGGAUAAAACUGGCAAUUCGCAAGAAAAUCCAAACGGCUGGCCGACCUGCGAAGGAAACAUCACGACCUGUUUGCAUAAAGAAAUGCAAACCUGAAACACCGGGCACGUGCGGUUUAGGGGAGCGGGCAGUCUCACACACUACUGAGUUGUUUCCCAGCAGCCGUCAAUACAGACCUUCCACUGCGUAAGCCCACUGCAUUGCCAUUUAAUAAAACAGCAAGAAAAUGAGAGAGAAAAAUAAUGAGGUAGAAUUGUAUGGGAUUAUUAAGGAUUGAAUUCUCAGUAGAUUUAGUGAAAUAUACAAGUUACUGAAGUUUGUAGAAACGAACUGGUAAGUGUUUUCUCAUUUAUUUGUUUUUUAAGGAUAAACCCAAAUAUAGGUAAAACUGUUGGAAAGGUAGGCAAGAAAUUGUUGAUGAGUUACUUCUAGGGACAAGGAAUGUGGGGUGGAAGAGGGAUUUUUCCCUUCUGCCAUCCAUACUGUGAAUUUCCUUGGCAGAAAUACGUAUUUCUUCUCUGGCAGUAAAAUCAAUGAAUUACUAAAAGUUCACUAAUGUACUCUUUGGUCCAACUAUUCCACUCUCAAGGAACUAAAAAAGCAAAGGAAAUACAGGGAUAUACAGAAGAUUCUAUACAGGGAUAUUCACGGAGCAUCAUUUUUAUCACCAAAAAUGUGCUCCACAGAAAAGAAUUAAACUGUAUUCUGGUAAAUUUACACAGCGCGAUUUUAACUGACUAAUAAAAAUGCUGUAUGAUUUUAACUUUAAAGGAAAAAAUCUGUAAGAUGUGGUUAAUUACCAAAAGGUGUUUACCUAAGGAGCACACAGACUUUAAUACCCCAAAUUAAACUUUAUAUUAUACUCAAGGAGUUAUCAGUGGUUGCUUGCUACACUGAGAAGCUGCUUUAUGUGUUUUAGACUCCCUAGACCAUCAACAGUCUCUUUUUGCCCAGCAGUGCCACAUAAACAUAAUAUACGAAUGAAAACACUGUGCUUCUUAUGAAAAUACACGUUCAAAACAAAUUCCCCAGCAGGAAUAUUGAA
rnacentral:lncRNA from 10 species